rnacentral:rRNA from 1 species
GACGAACGCUGGCGGCGUGCUUAACACAUGCAAGUCGAACGCGCCUGUCCUCUGGGUUUCUGGGGGGUGGGUGAGUGGCGAACGGGUGAGUAACACGUGAGUAACCUGCCCCCUUCUUCGGGAUAACGGUCUGAAAGGGCUGCUAAUACCGGGUAUUCACUGGUCUCCGAAUGGGGUCUGGUGGAAAGGUUUUUUUCUGGUGGGGGAUGGGCUCGCGGCCUAUCAGCUUGUUGGUGGGGUGAUGGCCCACCAAGGCUUUGACGGGUAGCCGGCCUGAGAGGGUGACCGGUCACAUUGGGACUGAGAUACGGCCCAGACUCCUACGGGAGGCAGCAGUGGGGAAUAUUGCACAAUGGGCGCAAGCCUGAUGCAGCGACGCCGCGUGAGGGAUGGAGGCCUUCGGGUUGUGAACCUCUUUCGCCCGUGGUCAAGCCGCGACGUGGGUCGUGGUGAGGGUAGUGGGUAAAGAAGCGCCGGCUAACUACGUG